AAAAUUUAACUAUAUUAUCGUUGAAUAUGUUAUUUAACUUCAUCUUUCCUAAAAUUAUAAUUCAUCAUCUUCCUUAAUUAAUUAGGAAUUACAUUUUAAAUAUUUUUUCAUCAAUUUGUAACUUGUCUUCAUCCACUGAUUUUCAUCCUCCCUUUCUUCACGUUUUUGCUCAAUUUUACAGCCAAGAAAAAAUAUAGGAGAAAUUCUGAAAAAGCCCGAAAUGGAUACCCUGUCUGUUUCCACAAAGCCCGAGUCCAACUUCCCCUUCGAGUUCCCUUAAAAUUCGACUCUGAUGUCUCCGGCAGAGACAGAGUCGACGACGAGGACAAUUUCUUGGCCGGGUUGACUCGCUGCCUGACUCCGUAACUCUCCCUCAAGCCACAAGUAUGUUUGCUUCUUUUUUGCUCUGUUAUUUUUUCAGUUACAGAAUAAGGGGAUAAGUUGCCUUUUCACUUGUGUCUGCAGGAAGACUUAUUACACUAACUCUAAGGAGCUGAUCUAGUGACAAUAUGGCGACGAAAACUUCCAAAUCACUGAGUUUGAAUUUCCGGUCACCAUCACACUGAAUCAUUUCACAUUCGACAAAUUAGAGUUUAAAGCAAAUCAACGAAUUCAAAUUUCAAUUGCUACAACGAUCAGCACAAACAAAAUCGUCGUUAAACCGUUACCUAACAUUAAUCCCGACGAGCUUAGGUCCGAGAACGUCGUUGAUGUUUCCAACAGCACCAAGCACGCCUUUACCCCCGUAGACGCUCUUGUCCCCGUCGCGUAACUCGAGAGCCUAAUGCGCCGCUGCUUGUGAAGGCAGAUACCGGUGGAGGCAGAUCGGUGGAGGGAGUCGUUGCUUGUGAAGAGAUCGAUCUCGACAGUAGGAUUGCCUCUGCUGUCGAUGAUCUGCCUCCCCUUCAUGGACUUGACUGUGGAGGAGCUGGGGACGCUGGCAGCCGGAGCUACGGCGGAAACAGAGUUGCGGACGACGAAGCUGCAAGGAUUUGGGAAUUUCGUUCGCGUAAAAAAUAUAUUUUGAGCUAGUGAAGUGCGUCGGCGGAGAUAAUUUGUUCUGCCGUCUCCGCCAUUGUUUUCCCUCUGUUUUUUUCCUGAAAAGAGGUGAGGCUGAUUAUGAUUUCUAGAAUUAUUAGAAAAUGAACUUUUGAUAUAUUGGUAAUGUUGCCUUUUCACUUGCCAUUUCAGUAAUUUGC
rnacentral:lncRNA from 1 species